rnacentral:rRNA from 1 species
CCCUUAGACGUUCUGGGCCGCACGCGCGCUACACUGACGAAGGCAACGAGCUUUCCUUUACCGAAAGGUACGGGUAAUCUUUUGAAACUUCGUCGUGCUGGGGAUAGAUCCUUGCAAUUUUUGAUCUUAAACGAGGAAUUCCUAGUAAGCGCAGGUCAUCAACUUGCGUUGAUUACGUCCCUGCCCUUUGUACACACCGCCCGUCGCUACUACCGAUUGAAUGGUUUAGUGAGGCCUUCGGAUCCGCGACUCGUUUUGUGGAGAAGUUGGACAAACUCAGUCAUUUAGAGGAAGUAAAAGUCGUAACA